UAGUCAUAUGCUUGUCUCAAAAACUAACCCAUGCAUGUCUAAUUAUAAAUGGUAUACAGUGAAACUGCAAGUGGCUCAUUAAAACAGUUAUAGUUUAUUUGGUAAUCAAAAUUACAUGGAUAACCGGGGUAAUUCUAAAGCUAAUACAUGCUGUAAAGCCCGACUUUUUGAAGGGCCGUAUUUAUUAAAUAACAAACCAAUAUUCCUCGUGUCUAUGGGGGUGAAUCAUAGUAACUUAUCGAAUCGCAGGGGCUUCCCCCGCAACAAACCAUUCAAGUUUCUGCCCCAUCACCUUUCAAUGGUAGUGUAUUGAACUACCAUGGCUUUUACGGGUAACGGAGGAUUAGGGUUCAAUUCCGGAAAGGGAGCCUGAAAAACGGCUACCACAUCUAAGGAAGGCAGCAGGCGCGUAAAUUACCCAAUUCUAAUUCAAAGAGGUAGUGACAAAAAAUAACGGGUCGGGACUAUGUCCCGGGACUGCAAUGAGAUGAAUUUACACCCCUUUUUGAGUAACAAUU
rnacentral:rRNA from 1 species